rnacentral:rRNA from 1 species
AUUGAACGCUUGCGGCAGGCCUAACACAUGCAAGUCGAACGAGUGGCGGACGGGUGAGUAAUGUCUGGGAAACUGCCUGAUGGAGGGGGAUAACUACUGUAAACGGUAGCUAAUACCGCAUACCAUCAGAUGUGCCCCGAUUGGUUUUGCUUGUUGGUGGGGUAACGGCUCAACAAGGCGACGAUCACUAGCUGGUCUGUGAAGAUGACCAGCCACACUGGAACUGAGACACGGUCCAGACUCCUACGGAAGGCAGCAGUGGGGAAUAUGGCACAAUGGGCGCAAGCCUGAUGCAGCAAUGCCGAGUGUAUGAAGAAGGCCUUCGGGUUGUAAAGUACUUUCAGCGGGGAGGCGUUACCCGCAGAAAAAGCACCGGCUAACUCCGUGCCAGCCGCCGCGGUAAUUC